rnacentral:rRNA from 1 species
AAUAGAUACCCGGGUAGUCCACGCCGUAAACGAUGAGUGCUAAGUGUUAGAGGGUUUCCGCCCGUUUAGUGCUGCAGCAAACGCAUUAAGCACUCCGCCUGGGGAGUACGGUCGCAAGACUGAAACUCAAAGGAAUUGACGGGGGCCCGCACAAGCGGUGGAGCAUGUGGUUUAAUUCGAAGCAACGCGAAGAACCUUACCAGGUCUUGACAUCCUUAUGCCAUCUCUAGAGAUAGAGCUUUCCCUUCGGGGACAUAAGUGACAGGUGGUGCAUGGUUGUCGUCAGCUCGUGUCGUGAGAUGUUGGGUUAAGUCCCGCAACGAGCGCAACCCUUGAUCUUAGUUGCCAGCAUUCAGUUGGGCACUCUAAGGUGACUGCCGGUGACAAACCGGAGGAAGGUGGGGAUGACGUCAAAUCAUCAUGCCCCUUAUGACCUGGGCUACACACGUGCUACAAUGGAUGGUACAAAGGGCAGCGAAACCGCGAGGUUAAGCCAAUCCCAUAAAACCAUUCUCAGUUCGGAUUGC